UGUGUUUGAGAAUAGCACUCACCUGUUCAGUUAAAAAAGCUUUCUUUUGUACGUAAAGCUUCCGCUUUAUGGUACAAAGAUCUUUUAAAAAUUUGGCAUAAGAUGGGAUCUGCUUAAUGGCAUCUAAUAAAGGAAUAUUAAUCUUUACUUGUUUAAAGAUUUCCAGAAUUUCUUGGUCAGGUAUUCCCUUUUUAGCUGCAAGCAAGCGCUGAGGAAAUGGAGCAACUAUCUUGUGAUGCAGUAUUGGAUCAUCUUGUUCAUUAUCAUCUUCAUCCUUCUUUUCAAUAGAUUUUUCAGGUUUGUCAUCUUUUGUCG
rnacentral:lncRNA from 1 species